rnacentral:snoRNA from 1 species
UUACAUGAUGAAGCGGCACUGGGCUCUGAGAGUACCCAUACGGGACUCGGCCAUGAGCAGACAAGCCACUUUGCGGCAGGCCUAGAAAACCUCGCCCACUGAUU